rnacentral:lncRNA from 1 species
AGUAUCAUGCAAAAGACAUUGAGACAAUCAAGAUUACUUGAGCAACCUGAAUUAUGUUAGUUGUUACCUGCUUUCAAACGAAUGUGUCCUCUCAUAGUAUGCAUGUACUUCUGUUGUUGAGGAAUUUAUAUCAUUAGACAGUUCUGUUUUUCAUAAUUAUUGAUUAAUGGGUACAUACCUUCAAUCCUGGAAGAUUAUCAGAUAGCCAGCCAAGGAAGCGAUUUGUUUAUUGAAUUGGGCAUAAUAGGAACAUUUUUACAUUCAAAGGAACAUCAUAGGAAUAAUUUGGUAUUUCAAGAAGAUUUUCCAGUCCCCUGCCCCAACCUACUGGAGACAGUAUGAGUGGUGACAGACACAUUUGUAACAUACGAGCAAGCCAGUGCAGCAGCUUCAGUCACAUGCUCUGGAAGCCCAUUUUGGGUCUUCCUUUAGAAGGCUCAACAAGGCCAUCAUCACACCAUUCUAGUUAGUUACUUCUGCAACGAUAUAUGUCCGUAAGAACAUAAGAAGCUAGGGUUCUAGUAGACUUAUAAUGCUCUAACAGCACCACGUUGGAUAUGCCCGUACAAAUAAAAUAACUUGAAUCGAGUCUAUAUGUAAGAACAUAUCUUGUCAUCAGUCAACUACUAGUACAGUAAGAGCAUCAAAGAGGAAUUCAUUUCAUAUAGAAUAGUCGCAAUCAUAUACUUUUGUUCUGCACAUACUGCUCAUUAUCAUGGACAAUGAUGUAGCUAGCUAAAAGGGGGCAUGUGGCUAUAAUGUAAGCAGGGAGGCUCCAGGGACGAGCUCAACAGACAGAACUAACCUGCUCUUGCAAGGAACCAGUAAGCCUUGCUACAUUGUCACCUGCAUGCUGCAUGGCAUCGCGUCCACCAGCUAUUGUGGUAUGUCGCAACUCUUUCCUCACAUCUUUUCACCGAAGCGAUCGUUGGCGAAUUCUAAUCUUUCUGGAACAACAUUCCUAAUUCCCUGCACUAGAAGGUCAUCAUGAUGCAUCGGUACAUCGGAAUUCCGGACACAUUAACAAAAUCUUUGCCCAAACCAAAUUAAGGGGGAAAUGAGAAAUGAAGGAGAGAACCAAAUAGUAAGUUAGGUUAUAUAUAUGUAUGUAUGUAUCUAUAUAUAUAUAUAUAUAUAUAUAUAUAUAUAUAUAUAUAUAUCGUUCAUAGUAAAAACAACCGGAAGUGUAUCCAUGUUGUUUGCUUAGGUGGCUGAAAUCAAGGUCCUAUUCACUGGGAUGAUAAACCUACUAAAUAAAAGGGUUCUCAAAGUCCCCUCAGAACUAGAGUCGAGUAACACAGUCAUGGUCCCAUGGGGUUUCAGGAUAACGACAUGAAAAUGUGGUUAACACAAUCAGCUCUCUCAUUAAGAUUUGUCUUAUUUUUAUCACUACGGGAAAAUUCAUGUUUGCAGAGUGUUAGUGUCUUUGUUGAGUGCAUUAUGUUGGGCACUCGGCAAACAUAUCUUUGCCGAGUGUAAUCCUGAAACAUGGUAAACAUGUGCUUUGCCCACUGUCGUGGAAAAAAACUCUGGCAAAAAAGUUAUAGUUACUAAAAGGUGCUUUGUUGAGUGUCUUGGAAAUAACUCUCGGCAAAAUAGUGGAACUCGGGCAAAGAUGUGCUUUCCCGAGUGCUACACUCGGCAAAAGGGGGUAUGCACUGUGCUCACUGUUUUGGCUGUCGAGAUUGCAUACAACCUUGGAUGAAGAUGAUCCAAAAAUCGAAGUUUUUUAUUUCGACAAGAUGAAUAGUUUUCAUGUUGAGGACCUUUUCAUUUUAGGCCAUAUUAUUUACACUUUUUGCCAUGCCAAAAUAUGGUCCCAAAUGAAUAAGGCAGUGGUCAUAUUUAUUGCAUAGUUUAUGACUAUGGUCCUAACCUUGGCAUUUAUGUGCAUCUUGCCAUUACAAACAAUUUUGCCAAAUAGAGAUUCCAACAUUUUGUACAAAAAUAAUUUUUUUAUUUUUGAAGCAUAAAAAAUUGAUACUUUUGUGAAGCUGGUAAAAAAAAUAGAGUGCAAAAUGGCAUCACUCCAAUUUUCACAAAAAUAGACCAUGCUUUUUUAGAAAAUUCCCAUUUCUUGUGGAUUUUCUAGAUUUCUAGCUACUUUCACACAUUUAUAUGACUUUAUUAUGAUUCCGCAAAAUUAAUUCAAUUUGAACUGUAAUUGUGUGAUAGCUCUGUCCUAGAAAUUUGCAAAAAAUACUUUUAAGUACACAAGUAGUCAUUACCUGGAAAACCCACUUAGAGUUUGAGAGAUUCAACCCCUUACAUGAGUAGCCAUGCCGGCCACUUUCACCCCGUUUGGGAAAAAAUGAAACCAAAAGGAUACAAGUUCAAAAAAUGCAAUCCUUUCAUAUGAACUCCUUUUAUCUGUACUAGUGUGGAUGAAAAUACCAAACUUUCAAUAUGACAGUUUUCAAAGAAAAAUAUCCUUCACAAAUGGGCUAUCCUCUAUGAACAUUCAUGGCUUUCAAGUCAAUGACCAAGGUGAUGACCAUAUUCAUUGCAUAGUUUAUUAUAAUGUGCCUAAAUUAGACAUAUAGGUGAACCUUGCCAUUACCAAUAAUGUUGCAAAAUAGAAUUUCCAACUUUUUUGUUCAAAAAAAUCAUUUUCUAUUUCAGUAUAAAAAAUGGGUGUUUUUUGUGAAGCAGGUACCAAAAACAGGGUACAAAAUGGCACCACUCCAAUUUUCACAAAAAGUAGACCGUAUUUUAUGGACAAUUCCCAAAGUGUGUAGAUUUAUCUCUUAAAAUUUAACAAUUGGUGUAUUUUUUAAUAUUUAAUGAAAAUAAUAUAUGUAUUUUUAAUAGGAAGGGCGGAUAUUUAAAGGAUAGCAUAGACAUCUGAGGGUGUACGUUAAAGCGUUGGAGGUACCUUUAUGUGUCAGUUUACGCCAUGCUCAACCGGCAAUGUGGUAGUAUUAAUCAGUAUAUACUUUUGAUUGUAAAAGAAAUCAAUAUAUAAUUUGUUUGGAUUAUUUUAGUUUGCAGGGCAAACUUAAAAUGGAUUUAUUUAGCCUAUUUUUGUGAAAUCACUAAUUAGGAGGUACCUUUUGCAAAGGUCACACCCCACUUUCAUUAGUGCUGACAGGUGGCACAUGGCAUGUGUGUCCCUUGUCGCAACAUGGGAGUUUCCCCUUUUUGUAGAUUCAUUUUUUAAAAUCUUUUAUCUCUUGAACCGCGCAUUCAAAUCACGACCCAUUUUUAUCGUUGGAUUUCUCCCGCCGAGAUCUUUGAAACUAGUCACAUGUUAAUAAGUUCCGAUGAACUUUUUCUUCACGAAAAUCAAACAAAAAAAUAUGAAAACAAAAAAUACAGAAAGCAAAAAAAGAAAAAAAAACUAAAAUCAAGGUUGUGCUUUUUUACAUUUUUGGGAAGAAAAAGUGUGCUUUCCCCUUUUUGGGAAACACGGUUUUGCUUCUUGUGCAAGCAUAGGUCGUGCUUUUCCCUUUUCAAGAAGCAUAGGCCAUGCUUCUCUUGUUCUCCGGGAAGCACAUAUGUGCCUUUCCUUUCGGGGAGCACAGUUUUCUCUUUCGGAAAAGCAUAGAUGUGUUUUUCCCUUUUCAGAGAAGCACUACCUAUGCAUCUCACCGAAGAACAUGCUAUGCUUUUCCUUUUUUGAGGAAGUAUAGUUGUGCUUUCCCUUUUUUACAGGGUAGCAAAAAUUGUGCUUUCUUCCUUCUCGGGAAGCUAUGCUUCCCGCGGAAAAGCACCGCCUCAUGAAAAAACAUAAAAAUGUUUUUUUUUCAUCAAAACCUAGGGAAAACCAAGAAAAAAAAGAAAACAUGUGUAAAAAAAUCUAAGGGUGAACCCAGUGCACGACACGUGGCGGCAAUUGGAUGCAUCACUUGAUGCGCUCUCAGGUCCUAAAAGUAGCCUAUGUGGAAUCCCCCGAUGAGAUACCCGUUAGAUAGUUGGAGACCUCCUUGCAUCAAAUAGGAGGGUGGCCACAAAGGGGGCGCAUCCUGGUGGGCCGGCCCAGCAGCGUGCUACACUCUAGCGCAAAUUGGUCAAAAUCUAAAAAGUGAUGUGUGAUCAAAGCGCGCAUGGCUAGCCACUCAAGCUAAUGAAACUCUGCUAACUACUAGGCCGUGUUGAACUUUAAAAAGUACUAUAUGAUACCCCGCGCGUUGUUGCGGGAACUCUUAGUACUUUACAUGAAGAAGCUUGUGGAGUGAAAAUAAUUAAAUGAUGAAAAUAUACACUUUUUAAAACCUUUGGUGGUACUUGUAGGAACAUUAUGGAGUGAAAAUAAGUUAACAAUUAAUAUAUUUUUAAACCUUUGAUGGUAUUUUGAGAAUCAUGAGAGAAAUGGUAUAUUAGGGUAUCUCUGUAUUUAUGUAGUUAGAACGCGCCACCCUUCAGCGGGGAAUUAAAUGCAUCGCUAACAUUAAAAAAUAGAGCAUAUAGUUUGAUGGGAAUUUCACUGAAAACAUGGCCAGCCAAGUCUAAAGCUGAAUAUUACACUGAACAGAGAGCCCAAUCAUUGCCUAACACAAAAGCACUAAUGCUUGUUGAGUUAUUUGUAAUAUAGGAGCAGAAUCCCUUCGAAAGAGAAAUUCCAAAAUAUUAAAAAGAUCCAACAGUAAGACAUCCAUACACCUUACAGUUUAUACAUGGAGACAAGCUACAUACCAAUCGCUAAAAAGGUGAAUAUAGAGUCAUGCACAUCAGGCCCUCAUGGCAUAGAUGCAUUUCUUCCACUAAAAGGACAUGCCUUAAGGGGAUUAGUGUAGGUGUGAAGAUCUGGACAUAUAAAUGGCAGGAAUGACUUCAUCUUCCUACCCCUUCUAUGGAAACAGAGGCCCGACUUCAAUUGGGAUCCGUUUGACAUGUUGCUCCCUCUUCAUAAAAUGGAGCUGAUCGUUAUCUAAAAGCAAGCUAGGUAGAUUUGGCAUGGCCAGCAGUAGUACUUGCUACUUUGCCAGUUGUGAUGCAUCAUAUGAGAAGGCAAGGAAGGUUGUGUGCUGCCAUGGCCGGACCCUUUGGGGUGCCAAAUGGUGUUCAAAUUUAUAGUAGGUUCCAUUUUUGGUGGGAAUCCAAGGAAAAGAAGGCAAUGGAGUAAGAUGACAACCCAUUCCCAGACUGCCACUCAAAAUCAAAAUGAAGAGGGUAAAUAAAUGUACUUACUAAGAACACACGGAUAACAUAUAGCUGGCUACAGAAACAGCCAAACUUUGUAAGUCCACGGAAAUUGAGGAAAUUGUGAAAACUAUUUCUGUGAGUAGAAGGAAACGUAGUCCAGUUACCUUUCAUGGUAAUGCUUCUCUUGAGACGAUUCUUAGGAUCCCUGAAGAAUGUCUUCUGUUUUCCUGAAGCGGGAUUCCUUGCUAGAGCAGUACCUUUUGUUCUCUUGAGUUAAGGCAGAGUGGGAAAUACAUCACUAUCAGCUCUAGUUCAAUUGCUUGUAUUUUACAAAAACAUACAAUUGAAACAAUUAUCAGGAAAAGUUAUUACCUUAAUCGCAGCAACUCUUUGAGCAUGCAAUUUGGCGUCUUGGUGUAUAAUCUUCAUGUGUAAACAAUUUGUUUUAGCAUCUAGACUCUAUAAUUAAAAUUAAUAAGUUCUUUAAAAGCCAAAGGCAACUAUAUAGACCAAUACAAUUAAACAAAGGCAGCGGGUAGGUUUCAAAUUUGAAGUAGCAGGGCUCCAUAGUUAACUCUCCAUCAUGCAGGCAUUUAGUGUAGUAGAUACAAGACAUACGUGUGACAGAUUGCAUAUGAACAACAUUUAUUAGUAGGAAAAUUGUACUACCGUAUAUUGCACUAACACUAACUAUAUGAAGAAGCCAAUAGCAUGUAAUUUCAGCUUGCAAGAAAGCGCCACUUACUCUUAUAGAUCGGCUAAUCUACAUGGCAACUUCCGGGGAUGGUGAUGGAUAAGUACAGUUGGAUCGUGUUUAGGUGUUAAUCUAUUUUUAUAAAAAUCAUCUUCCUUUACUUUCAAGGGAGAACUGUAGAGGGGAAAGAACAACAUUUUUUAAUCUAAUGAUCCAUCACUUAUUCACAACUAUUGCAAUAACCAAGUAUGUUGGAUGCAAGGAGGAGGUGAGAGUGCAGGCAACAUGUAUGUCACAUCAUGCGAACAGGUGGGGAUCAUGUUAAGUCAAUGCAGAAGGAUGCGUUGUGUGUCCGCGCACCGUCAACACCGCCGAGUAAACAGUAAACUAAACCUGGGGACCAGCGCUCUUGACCUUCCCAGCUACUUCUGGCAUAGGGGGAAUAUUUGAGGAUUUAUAGUGCUGAGAUUAGGGUUNNNNNNNNNNNNNNNNNNNNNNNNNNNNNNNNNNNNNNNNNNNNNNNNNNNNNNNNNNNNNNNNNNNNNNNNNNNNNNNNNNNNNNNNNNNNNNNNNNNNNNNNNNNNNNNNNNNNNNNNNNNNNNNNNNNNNNNNNNNNNNNNNNNNNNNNNNNNNNNNNNNNNNNNNNNNNNNNNNNNNNNNNNNNNNNNNNNNNNNNNNNNNNNNNNNNNNNNNNNNNNNNNNNNNNNNNNNNNNNUCCUCCCGAAGCUUCCUAGGUUUCUUCUGGUCCAAGAAAAAUCAUCGUAAAGUUUUAUUCGUUUGGACUCCGUUUGAUAUUCCUUUUCUGUAAAACUCAAAAACAAGAGAAAAAAACAGAAACUGACACUGGGCUCUGGGUUAAUAAGUUGGUCCCAAAAAUAAUAUAAAAUAACAUAUUAAUGCAUAUAAAUCAUCCAAAAUAGAUAAUAUAAUAGCAUUGAACAACCAAAAAAUAUAGAUACGUUGGAGACGUAUCAGGAUCAUGUUAAGUCGAUGCGAAAGGAUGCAUUGUGUGUUCGCACACUGGAUGCUUGUAUUUAUAUGGCUCUAUCAGCGUCGCCGAAUAAACUAAAUCUGGGGACCGGUGCUCUUGACCUUCCCAACUACUUCGACUGGAAAUCAGAUCCUCCAUGCCAAAUAAGAAAGACCAUUCAGGUCGUGCUGAUUGAGAGGAAAGAGACCACUCACCUCCGACAAUGGCACGUGUGGCUCGCCUGAAGGUCCUUGGGUUGAAUCCACGGUGUUGGGCUAGCGUAGCACCCAUUGGCGGCAAUCAUGGGGCUCCAAGAUGGCGUCACCAUGUAGAUGUCUGGUGUUGUUGGCCAUAGACGGUUUUGUCAAAGGCGACGCAUUAUGGAAAGAUGGAUAGAUGAAAGAGGGGAGGAGAAGAACCUGGAAGACAAUAGAUAUUUAUUGGUGAAGGGGAGAUGAACGGAAUCAUCGGGCGAAGAGGUGAUGGCUCGUGUCCGCAUUAGUAUUUUCCCCGAAGAGGAAGGGAUGAUGCAACACAGCUACGGUAGGUAUUUCCCUCAGUGAUGAGACCAAGGUUAUCGAACCAGUAGGAGAACCAUGCAACACUAUGUAAACGGUACCUGCACACAAAGAACAAAUACUUGCAACCCGACGCGUAAGAGGGUUGUCAAUCCCUCCCGGGUAAAAGAUAGAUUGGUUUCUAGUAGAUUGGAUAAAUAGAUCUCGCGGAAACCCAAAAUAAAAUAAAUAACAAAAAAUUGCAUCAAGGUAUUUUUGGGUUUUUAGAAUAAUAGAUAUCUAUACCUACUAAUAAAAGAAAUAGGUAUUCUUCGUCCGUCAUGCUAUUUUGUAGAAAACCCCCUGAUGUUUCUGACAUUAAACCCGCAGUACAUAUCAAGUGCUUUUUAAAAUACUCAUAAUUUUAAACCAUAACUCCAAAUUUAACAUAUUAUAUAUGGAAUUUAAUUAGAAAAUUAUUUAGAAUCUAAAUAUGAUGUUAUUUUACCUAUUAACAAUUUUUAAAAUAAACUAUCUAGGCUGCAAUGUUAAUCAACAAUGCAUUAUCCGUCUUUUUUUCAUACCGGUAUUGAUUUAGAUUGGGGAUGAAAACCUCAGCAAAAUCAGGAUUGGACAUCAGAUUGAAGAUAAAUUUGUUAGAGACACCGAAUAAAUAAGGACAUGCAUGACAAGAAAUAAAAAGAUCCAAUAAAGAUGGGAUGUCCGCUAUAAAAAUAAAUAAAAGAGAAAAUGCAGAGGAGAUCCGAUAAAGAUGAGAUGUUGCGCUAUUCUCCUAUAUAUAAGAAGAGUAAAAGGAGGACAUGCAUGAAAAAAGGUAAAAAGGAGGCAUGCAUGAAAAAAAUACAAGUUUUAUAAGAAAUAAAUAGUGAUGAAACAGGGACCAAUACCUAUGACAUGUAUGGCAAGAAAUAGUGAUGAAAUAGGGGCACAAGUACCUGAGUCAACAGGAGACCAUAAAAAAUGUUGUUUUCCAGACCAAAAAAACCUAUUUUAUGAUUAAAAAAUCUUGUACCUUUUUAACUCUUCAUGUAUUUAAGAAAUAGCUACAAAUUCUCGGAUUACAAAACAUUUUUUGUAAAUUAAGAGUGUGUGGUACUUUUUUCCCGUUGCAACGCACGGGCCUUUUUGCUAGUGAAAAUAAAAGAGGCAAAUAAUAGAUCGGAAAGCAAAUAUGAUAAAGAAUAGACCCGGUGGCCGUAGAUUUCACUAGUGGCUUCUCUCCAGAAAAAUAGCAUACAGUGGGUAAACAAAUUACUGUUGGGCAAUUGAUAGAACUUCAAAUAAUUAUGACGAUAUCCGGGCAAUGAUCAUUAUAUAGGCAUCAUGUCCUAGAUUAGUAGACCUACUCCUUCCUGCAUCUACUACUAUUACUCCACACAUCGACUGCUAUCCAGCAUGCAUCUAGUGUAUUAAGUUCAUGGAAAAAUGGAGUAAUGCAAUAAGAAUGAUGACAUGAUGUAAACAAGAUCUAUUCAUGUAGGAAUAGACCCCAUCUUGUUAUCCUUAAUGCAACGAUCAAUAUGUGUCUUGCUGCCCCUUCUGUCACUGGGAAAGAACACCGCACGACCGAUCCCAUCACAAAGCACCUCUUCCAUGGCAAGAAAAAUCGAUCUAGUCAACCUAACUAAACAAAAGAUUUGAAGAAGAAUACGAGGCUAUAAGUAAUCAUGUGUCUAAGAGAUCAAAACUCAAAUAACUUUCAUGUAUAAAAUAGAUCUGAUCAUAAACUCAAAGUUCAUCGGAUCCCAACAAACACACCGCAAAAAGAGUUACAUCAAAUAGAUCUCCAAGAGACCAUUGUAUUGAGAAUCAAAAGAGAGAGAGGAAGCCAUCUAGCUACUGCCUACGGACCCAUAGUUCUACAAUGAACUACUCACGCAUCAUCGAAGAGGCACCAAUGAGGAUGAUGAACCCCUCUGUGAUGGUGUCUAGAUUGGAUCUCAUGGUUCCGGAACUUGCGGCAGCUCGAAUUGUGUUUCGUCGACUCCCCUAGGGUUUUUGGAUUUUCGGGGUAUUUAUAGAGCAAAAAGGUUGUGCGGGAGGGCACCGAGGUGGGCACAACCCACCAGGGCACACCUGGGCCCCCAGGCGUGCCCAGGUGGGUUGUGUCCCCUGGGGGCACCCAUCUGGUACUUCUUUGGCCCAAGUUGUUCCGUCUGGUAUAGAAAAAUUCUCCAAAAAGUUUCAUUGCGUUUGGACUCCGUUUGGUAUUGAUUUUCUGCGAAGUAAAUAACAAGCAAAAAAUAACAACUGGCACUGGGCACUAUGUCAAUAGGUUAAUAAAAUGAUAUAAAGUUGCUAUAAAAUGAUUGUAAAAUAUCCAAGAAUGAUAAUAUAACAGCAUGGAACAAGCAAAAAUUAUAGCUAUGUUGGAGACGUAUCAAGAGGCAAUAAGAGGAAGGCGCAGCAAUCAGUUCGACAGUAGUAAAAAAUUACACGAUUCGUUUCGUUGAAAAGGGAAAAAGGAAGCAUUGGUGACGUGGCAGAUUUUCUUACGUGGAUGGCUGCAUGUUGAUUGCUGAUGUGGAUAGGCUACAUGUCAAGAGAAAUAUGGUACUGGGAUGAACUAUUUAGGUAUUAUAGAUGCGCAACAUCACAUCUAAACUCUUUAUGAAAUUACAAAACACGAUGGUUUUUAAAAUGGAUAUAUUUUGGAACCCAAUUUUUUUAAAUUUAUGAAUAAAUUUUUGAAAACUUGAACAAUUUCUUGAGUCUAUGAACAAUUUUUUGAACACGAACUUUUUUUCAAAAUUUCAAAACGCAAUUACUUUUUUAAUGCAACCUUUUUCAAAAUUCAAAAACAUGAUUGUUUGUAAAGUGAAUAUGUUUUUAAAAUUCUAGACUAAAUUUGCAAGUUGAAUAUGUUUUGAGAAACACUCGAAAUUGUGGACGUUUUCUAAAACGUCAAAGAACUUUGAAAAACAUCAAACAUUUUUCAAAGCACGGAUUCUGGGGAAAAAACAAAUUCCGAACAUCUUUUAGAAAUUUUGAAUUUAUGAAAAAAGAAAAAGAAACAGAAAAUGAAAAAGAAAGAAAGCAAGGAAAAGCAGUGAAGAAAUAAAACAGAAAAAGGGAAAAAACCUGAAAAUAGUGGUAAAGACUGAUCCUAGCUACUUGGGCUAGUCCAUCUAUGGUUUACUCGCUGCUCAUUUCGGAGAUUUCUUUUAGGGGUAAAACCAAGUUUUAUACAUCAAACACCAUAGAGUGUGGGAUAGAGUUUGGGUCAUGGCAUUUUCCAAAGCAAACAUUGCGUCCCAGACCUAACGAAAGAGAAAACCUGCCUAGAUUAUGUGCUUCGACAUUUACAGGAUGAUCUUUAGAUAAAAAAAUACAAUGAAAUAAAUACGGUUGCAACUUGAUCUCGUUGAUAAUGGCUCGUUUCCACAUAGUUUGCUCACAUUUUUGAGAGAAAAUUUAGCCUUGAUGGGCUGGGAAAUUGGGCCAGCCAUCCUCGAGUGUGACUGGCUUGACUUUGUCUAGUAUAAAGCCCAUCACGUUGCCCAAGAGCCCACCCUUAUCUAUUUUUCUACAGGACCCACAUAUGUUUGGUUCCUUCAGCACGAUGGGCCACCUCCCAGCCUCCCUCGCCCGCUCGACAGCUCCCCCACCAAUAGAGUUAGGCCCUCGACCCUCCCCCACCCCAAGGUUGCGCGCAUGUCCCUUCCCGACAUCUCUUCCACACGGCCUCGUCCCACCCCAUGUUCUCCCCCAAGUGCUUUGUCGAGUGUCAUGGAAAAAUAUUCUUGGCAAGAUAGUGGAACUCACGCAAAAUGUGCUUUAUCAAGUGCUACACUCGGCAAAAGGGGGUAUGCAGGGAAGCAAAAUCGUGCUUUUUUCCUUCUCGGGAAGCUGCGCUUCCCGUGGAAGGCUUCAUCAAAAACCAGAAAAAAAGAUUUUUUUUUUCAUCAAAACCUAGGGAAAAUAAAAGAAAAAAAACACGUGUAAAAAAUAAAAUCUUAAGGGUGUACCUGCACACGACAUGUGGCCGCAGUUGGGCACAUCACUUGAUGCGCUCUCAGGGCCUCAAAGUAACCUCUGCAGGAACCCUCGACAAGAAACCCAUCAGACAGUUGGAGUCCCCCUUGCGUCAAAUAGGAGUGUGGCCACAAGGGGAGCGCGUCCUGGUCGGCCGGCCCAGUAGCCUGUAGCACUCUACCGCAAAUUUGUCAAAAUCUAAAACAUGACGUUUGAGCAAAGCUCGCAUGGCUAGCCAGUCAAGCUGAUGAAACUUUGCCAACUACUAUGUCGCGUUGAUCAGUAAAAAUUAUGUGCAACAUCACAUAUGAAAAAAAAUUGGAAUUUCAAAACACGAUUGUUUUUAAAAUGAACUAGUAAAGUGGCCCGCUCGAUGUGCGGGCUAGAUUUUUAAGUUUUUUUUAAUAAUAUCAUAUUGUUUGAUUUGGCUAAAGAAAAAUUGGAACCCAAUAUGACGACUUUAUUGUGCGGGCUCAAUCUUUGAAUUGUCUAUUAUGUUUUAUGAUUGAAUUUCUUAUCUGUAGUAAGUCAAUACAUAAUUAUGACGACUUUAUUGUGCGGGCUCAAUCAAUAUUAUUAUUUACUGUUAUUCUUCUUAUUUUUAUUGUUAAAAAAACAAUGUUAAAGUCAACCCAUUUGAAAAAAACUAAUUUAAUGUAAGUAUAGUAUCUAAAGUCCUAGUAUAGUAAUUUCAUUUUAAUUUAAUUUUAUUGUAUUCUUCCAUUUUGAAAAUGUAUUUUUAUUAUGAAUCUAGCACUUUAGUUAAAAUACAAAUAAAACUACUACAUUACUGAUCCCAAAAUUAAACAAAAAUGUGUACAUAAACUUGUCUUUAUCAUCGAUGAAUUACAACCAGAUCAUAUGUUUAAAUAAUGGAUAUUUAUAUUAUUAAUCAACCAAGCAUAGUUCUUUUGAUCUCGUAGAUUGUGAUUUCCCAAUAGUGUCUUGUCUUUUUGUUUAUGUGCAAAUAAUAGUUCACCUAUCAUAUUUUACGAGAAUGGGAAACAAAUAUAAGAAAUAGAACUGAAAGAAUUAUAUGGACGUCUAUUCUUGGAAAAUUGUUUAUGGUGUCACCAUCUCGUUCACGUGUGAGUAUGCAAUCUAAUUUCUAACAUGGCAUUCUUUCAUCCGUGAAGAAAUUUCAAGUUAUCACAACGCGACAUGAGUUCGAUAGAAUAUUAACUCAUUCGAAAAAAAAGAUAUGUACAUACAAAACUAAUGAAGUAACUUCAGUAAAAAUUAAUAUGUUACCCAAGAUUUUGAGGGACUGUGAUUUUGAAGGGGUAUUACAUUUUUGUAAUGUUAACUUGACACAUUGGUGAGAAACACAAUUCGAAUAGAAUACACUAAAGCUGAGAAAACAGAACUUUGUUGAACAAUAAUUAACCGGCUAAGAACUUACAAUGUAUCAUGCCUUUGCUGUUAACAACUAUAUGCAGCAGUAUUUUUUUUAUAUUUAUAAUUAUCACUCAAACUAACUUUUUAGAAAGCAUACUAAUUAGUUAGAUAUUCAGGGAUGCAUUGAUAACAGUAAUCGCUAUCGUCUAGCCUUGCCUCCUGUCUGAUGCACUACAAGCAAAGGAUUCAAAACUACGUUUUCCUGUAAUGUAAAACAAUAAUACUUCAUGGAGAUCAUGUUUGCAUGUGCAUAUGGAAUUCAUCAAUAGUAGGUAGAAAAGUCCUAGCUAGCUUAGCCUAGCUUAGGAUAACGCCCUGGCAUCUAAACUGCUUCAUAUAUGCAAUCCAAUUGUAUGGGUCAAAUAUACAAAACCUGAAGCUCAUGGUCUAGAUGUUUCAUUGAUAAUAUCAUUUCCACCAGACUGGCGACCGAUUAUACAGUAGUCUACCUGUAUUGUUUAACACUGAGAUACCGCAUCAGCCAAAUCAUAGCACCUGAGGUGCCUCUUCUUGUGGACGGUGAGAGCAUAUCUGUAAUAAUCAUCCUUUGUAUAACAUUAUUUAUACCUCCAAAUGUUGCACCACACAUGUUCAUCUUUAGAGUCAAGCCCUAUUGCAGCGCAGGUUGUGCUUGGCCAGCACCUUCGUGAUGAACUUGCCAGUGACCACAGUGCAAGCAACUACCAGUACCCAGGAAGCCUCGACGAAGCCAAUGACGUACUGCUCUAUUUCGCGCCGGUGCCAUGUGGCCCACUUGUUUCCCUGAGCAUGUCGGUAUCGACAAAGGAACGAUAGUCGCUAGAUUAAAGGGAAGUGAGAUGGAAAGACACACUCGAGGAGGAAGAUGUUUAGGACUAUGUAUUUGCAUACUCUUUUGGAUCAAGGACGUGGGAUGUAAGUACGGUGUUUGCCUUUUUUUCUUUCUCUUUUUAGCUUUGAAGGGAUGUGUACAUGUUUUUUUUAUGUCUACAUGCUUGAUUUUUUUCCUCUAGAGGGAUAUGUACUUGUUUGUAUUUUUAAAAGGUUGGGGGAUCAUUCAUUUUGUACGCACUUGUUUUUUUUUCAAAUGUAUGUACGUGCCUGAUGGAUAUGUGUGGGGACGUUCUUUUUUAUAUAUGUGGGAUAUGUACGUGCUUGUAUUUUUAAAAGGCUGGGGAUCAUUCAUUUUGUACGCACUUGUUUUUUUUUCAAAUGUAUAUACGUGCCUGAUGGAUAUGUGUGGGGACGUUCUUUUUUUUCCAUGAUGGAUGAACGAUGUGGGAUGUGUAUUUUUUUAUAUCUGGGGGUACACUCUUUUUUAGUGUCCACCGGGUUAUGAAGAUCUAAGGCCUAUGAUUAUAAAAAGAAGAAAAGAAAAAAAUCACCGAUGAACUAUCGGGUUUCUGGUGGGGAGAUGGACAGGAAAAGAGGAAAAUGCAUUGGUUUGCGUGGUGGAAAAUGUGUGUCACAAAGAAGAAAGGUGGAUUGGGCUUUAGAGACCUUCACAACUUUAAUCUUGCUAUGUUAGCAAAGCAGUGUUGGCGACUUCUUCAAAAUCCGGACUCUUUGUGUGCACGAGUUUUGAGUGCAAAAUACUACCCUAACGGGGACAUCCUAAAAGCGGGACCGAAGAAAGGGUCUUCAUUUACAUGGCAAAGCAUUUUAGCUGGGGUUCAGACUUUCAAAAGGGGCUGCAUAUGGCGAAUUGGUUCUGGCUCACACAUCAAUAUUUGGGAAGAUCCAUGGAUUCCAUCUAGUGAGUCGAGAAAAGUUAUUACCCCUAGAGGAGGAAUUAUGUUAACAAAGGUGGCAGAGAUUAUUGAUCCCCAUACUGGACAGUGGGAUGAGGCAUUGUUGCGUAGUGUGUUUUCACCGGUUGAUCUAGAUAGAAUAUUACAGAUUCCCCUACAUGUUGAGGCAGUUGAAGAUUUUUUAGCCUGGCACUUUACGAGGUCCGGAACCUUCUCUGUCCGCUCGGCAUAUCAGGUGGAGUUUGAUCAUCAGUUUGGACGUCAUUACUCAAACUCGAAUAACCCAGGUACUGCUAACCUUAAUAUGGUUUGGAAAGAUCUGUGGCAACUGCGGCUCCCGGGGAAAAUAAAACAUUUUGGUUGGAAAGUCCUAAAGGGGGUCUUGCCGUGCCUCGGUGUUCUGGCAGGUAGGCAUAUACCCUUGGUUCCGCAAUGUCCGCUUUGCAAGAUCGGAUUAGAGGACGUACAACACUGCCUUUUUACAUGCGCACGGGCAUCUGAUGUUUGGUCUGAGUUAGGAUUGCAGAAUGAUAUUAUAAAAGCCAUGCGGCAAGAUCGAUCUGGUUCUAUAACUUUGGAAAUUCUGGUCCGCAUGCGUACCAUGAUUCAUGAGCUGCCAAUGGCUGAACUCAUCUUGGUUGCGAUGUGGUUUAUCUGGUGGCAGAGGCGCCAAGUAACUAAUGGGGAAUCAGUCCAGACACGGGAACAAACAUCAAUAUCUAUCCGAGUUUUAGCCACCAACUUCGUACGAGCCUACACACCAAAUCAGCCGGUACGUACGAUCAGUCAUCAGUGGAAGAAGCCAUUGGAGGGAGCGGUAAAAGUUAAUGUCAAUGCGUCAUUCCAUGCGGACAAUUUUUCAGGAGCCUGCGGCGCUAUUGCUCGUGAUGAUCGAGGCAAUUUCUUGGCUGCAACUACUUGUGCAAUACCGCAUGUGUCUAGUGCAACCUCUGCGGAAUUGUUAGCUAUCAGGUGUGGUCUGAUCCUUGCAGUGAAUCUUGGAUGCACUAAGCUUAUUUUGGAGUCUGACUGUACGAUUGCUUUGGAGGCUAUAUCUGACCCAAACGCAUACAUGGGAACUGAUGUUCCAAUAGUAGUAGAAUGCUCUCUUAUGGCAGUGAAAUUUAAAAGCAUCAGUUUUACUCAUUGUAGCAGAGAAGCGAAUAUGGUAGCGGAUGGCUUAGCAAAGCAUAGCUUUAGUCAUAGCAAGUCUGAAACUUGGGACGUUGUCCCGGACUUUAUUCUGCAUUCUUAUGUAAAUGAUCUUGCUCUUAUUUGAUGAAUAAAGUUUUAAUGCUCAAAAAAAAAGAUCUAAGGCCUAUGAUUUAUUAGUACAGAGAAGUUCUAUUAAAUCAACCAUCGGAUACUUCUGAUUUUUAUAGAAUUUUUGAUCAUAUUUCUCUUUGUUGGUUAACCUGCUAUUUACUUUUAAUAUAUAGUAGAUACUAUAUAUGCAGUACGUGACCAUGUAUGAGUUUGUGAGGGAUUCUCUAUAUACACAUAUGUGCGUUUGUUUUUUCCUUAUGGAAUAGAUGUGCAUGCACAUGCUUUCCAAUUAACAUGGUAGGCUUGCCAAAAAAAAUUUAACGUGAUUCCUCACGCAACAUCUUUUUUUAUAGAAGAGCUCUGACAACCGAAUAAUCCAGGCUUUUUUUCUAGAUUGGAAAAUAUCUACGUGGGACAUGUGCCACGUAAAUCCUUAGAGGCCCAUCAUAUUAUAUAUGUUACGUAAAUUGAACGGUCACGUAAUCUUAAUUUUAAGAGAUUUACCGGAUCGAGGGUUGAUAUUUUCUAAUUAAUGUGGAAUUUUCUAACCUAUUUCUCUCCCUUCUGGUUCACCGUAUAUUACUUUUAGUAUAUAAACAAGAUGAUUUUUGGAACAUGGACUUUUUCCAAAUUUAUGAAUAAAAUUUGAAAACUAGAGCAAUUUUUGACUAUAUCAAGGUUUUUUUAAACACAAACUUUUUUUGAAAUUUUAAAACACGAUUAUUAUUUUAAUGCAACCUUUCUUAGAUUUCAAAACACGUUUUUAAUGAAUAUUUUCUUAAACCCAACCAAAAGUUGAAAACUUGAACAUUUUCAAAAACACUCGGAAGUGUGGACAUUUUCUAAAAAACGUGAAAGGAUUUAGGAAAACUUCAAACUUUUUCAAAGCACGAAUAAUUUUUGGGAAAAAUGAAACAAAAUAAAAUUCCGAACAGUUUUUGAACAUUUUUUUAGAAAUGUUGAAUUUAUGAAAAAAAGGAUAAAUUAUGAAAGAAAGGAAAAUCGGUGAAGAAGAAAACAACAGAAGGAAAAAAACUAAAAAAUAGUGUAAGAAAAAAAAACUAAUCCUAGCUACUUGGGAUGGUACAUAUGCGGUUUGCUCACUGCACAUUUCCUAAAAUUUUUUAGGGGUAAAAGCAAGUUUUAAUCAUCAAACACCAUAGAGUGUGGGAUAGAUUUGGGGUCGUGGCAUUGGUUAAACCCAAUGCGGCGUCCCAAACCUAACGAAAGAGAAAGACUGGCUAGACUAUGUGCUUCGACAUUGAUAGCAUGACCUUUACAAGAAAAAUUACUAUCAAAUAAAGAUGGUUGCAACUUAAUCUGGUUGAUAAUGGCUCGUUUCCCACAUAGUUUGCUCACAGUUUUUGAGAGAAAAUUUAGCCUUGAUGGGCUGGGAAAUCGGGCCAACCAAUCUCAAGUGCGACCGAUUCAUCUUUGUCCACUAGAAAGCCUGCCACGUUGCCCAAGAGCCAACCCUUAUCUUUUUUUUACAGGACCCGUAUAUGUUUUAUUGCUCCAGCAAGACCGGUCGCCGCCAAGCCUCUCUCGCCCGCUCAACAGCUCCCCCCGCCGCCGGGGCUAAGCCCUGGAUCCCCCCACCCCCAGGUUGCGAGCUUGUCCCAUCCCUCCCUCUCUUCUGCGUACCCUCGCCCCACCUCGUCUUCUCCCCCACCGGUGCUUUGCCUAGUUUCUUGGAAAAAACUCUCGAUAAAAUAUUGGAACUCUGGCAAAAUGUGCUUUCCUGAUUGCUACACUCGGCAAAAGGGGGUAUGCAUUGCACUGUUUUGGUUGUCCAUAUUGCAUACGACCUCGGAUGAAGAUGAUCCCAAAAUCAAAGUUUAUCAUUUUGACAAGAUGAUUAAUUUUCAUGUUCAGAACUUUUCCAUUUUAAGCCAUGUUAUUUACACUUUUGACAAUGCCAAAAUAUGGUCUCAAAUGAAUAUGGCGGUGGUCAUAUUUAUUGCAUAGUUUCUGACAAUGGGCCUAAAGUUGGCAUUUUGUUGCAUCUCGCCAUUACAAACAAUGAUGCCAAAUAGAGUUUCCAACAUUUUGUACAAAACUAAUUUUCCCAUUUUCUAAGUGUAAAAAAAUGGAUAUUUUGUGAAGCGGGUAAAAAAACAUAGUGCAAAAUGGCACCACCCCAAUUUACAUAAAAAGUAGACCACAUGUUUUAGAAAAUUCCCAGGUUUUGUGGAUCUUCUUAAUUUCUAGCUACUUUCGCACAGUUAAAUUCAAAUUUGAACUUUAAGUCUGUGAUAGCUUUGUCCUAAAAAUUAGCAAAAAUGUAAUCUAUUUUUUUAGGUGUGCAAGUAGUCAUUUUAUGAAAUCACCACUUAAGUUUGAGAGAUUCAGGCCCUUGCCAUGACUAUCCAUGCCGGGCAUUUUGACCCCGUUUUGGAAAAAUGAAACAAAAAGGAUACAAGUUCAAAAAAAUGCAAUCCAUUCGUAUGGACUCCUUUUAUGUGUACUAGCUAGGACGAAAAUACCAAACUUCAAUAUGAAAACUUUGAAAGAAAAAUAUCCAUCACAAAACGGGCUAUCAUGUAUGAACCUUCACGGCUUUCAAGUCAAACGACCAAGGUGACGACAAUAUCCAUUCCAUAGUUUAUUAUAUUAUGCCGAAAUUAGACAUAUAGGUGAAUCAUGCCAUUGCAAAUAAUGUUGUAAAAUAGAGUUUCCAACUUUUUGUACAAAAAAUCAUUUACUAUUUUCUAAGUAUCAAAAAUGGGUGUUUCUUGUGAAGUGGGUUCAAAAAAUAGAGUGGAAAAUGGCACCACUCCAAUUUUCACAAAAAGUAGACCAUAUUAGAUGGACAAUUCCCAAGUUUUGUAGAUGUCUAGCUAAAAACUAACAAUUGGUGUAUUUUUUUAAUAUUUAAUGAAAAUAAAAAAAUGGGAAGGGCGGAUACUUAAUGGAUAACAUGGACAUCUGAGGGUGUACCUUUAAGUGUUGGAGAUGCCUUUAUGUGCUGGUUUAUGUCGUGCUCAACCUGCAAUGUACUAGAGUUAAUCAUGUUGGGUAACGGUGCAUGGAAAAACAAAAAAAUAUCUACGCACACGUAAUGAUCUAUCCAUGGAGAUGCAUAGCAACGAGGGGGAGAGUGUGUCUACGUACCCCCAUAGACCAAAAGCGGAAGCGUUUGACAAUGCGGUUGAUGUAGUCAAACUUCUUCUAGCUCCGACCGAUCAAGCACCGAACGUACGGCACCUCCGAGUUCUGCACAUGUUUAGCUCGGUGAUGUCUCUCGUCUUCUUGAUGAGUUCCGUCAGCACGACAGCGUGGUGACGAUGAUGGUGAAGUGAUCCAUGUAGGGCUUCGCUUAAGCACCGCGAGAAUAUGACCGGGGGUGUAAACUGUGGAGGGGGGCGCCGCACACGGCUAACAAUUGAUGUUGUGUGUUCUAGGCGCCCCCUUCCCCACAUAUAUAUAGGUGGGAGGGGAGGGGAGGCAGCAAGGGGGCACCCCAAGUAGGAUCUGAAUCCUACUUGGGGUUUCCCCAAGUGACGCCCCCCCCCUUCCUUUUUUCCACCGGAGAAGAAAGGAAGGGGGAAGAAGAGAAGCAAGGGGGGCUGAACCCCCUCUUCUCCUUCUCCUAUUUGGCCACUUGCCAUAGGGGAGGCGCGCCACCCCUUGUGNNNNNNNNNNNNNNNNNNNNNNNNNNNNNNNNNNNNNNNNNNNNNNNNNNNNNNNNNNNNNNNNNNNNNNNNNNNNNNNNNNNNNNNNNNNNNNNNNNNNNNNNNNNNNNNNNNNNNNNNNNNNNNNNNNNNNNNNNNNNNNNNNNNNNNNNNNNNNNNNNNNNNNNNNNNNNNNNNNNNNNNNNNNNNNNNNNNNNNNNNNNNNNNNNNNNNNNNNNNNNNNNNNNNNNNNNNNNNNNNNNNNNNNNNNNNNNNNNNNNNNNNNNNNNNNNNNNNNNNNNNNNNNNNNNNNNNNNNNNNAUUCGAGAACACUUCCGGUGUCCGAAUACUAUCAUCCUAUAUAUCAAUCUUUACCUCUCGACCAUUUCGAGAUUCCUCGGCAUGUCCAUGAUCUUAUCCGGGACUCGAAACAACAUUCGGUCACCAUAUCACAUAACUCAUAUAAUACAAUAUCAUUAUCGAACGUUAAGCGUGCGGACCCUACGGGUUCGAGAACUAUGUAGACAUGACCGAGACACCUCUCCGGUCAAUAACCAAUAGCGGAACCUGGAUGCUCAUAUUGGAUCCUACAUAUUCUACGAAUAUCUUUAUCGGUCGAACCGUUAUGACAACAUACAUUAUUCCCUUUGUCUAUCGGUAUGUUACUUACCCGAGAUUCGAUCAUCGGUAUCUGCAUACCUAGUUCAAUAUCAUUAUUUGUAAGUCUCUUUACUCGUUUGUAAUACAUCACCUUACUAACGGAUGGGUCUUGUCCAUCACAUCAUUCUUCUAAUGAUGUGAUCCCGUUAUCAAAUGACACCUCAUGUCCAUGGUUAGGAAACCUUAACUAUCUUUGAUCAACGAGCUAGUCAAGUAGAGGCUCACUAGGGACAUAGUGUUUGUCUAUGUAUUCACACACGUAUUAAGGUUUCCGAUCAAUACAAUUCUAGCAUGAAUAAUAAACAUUUAUCAUGAAUAAGGAAAUAUAAAAUAAGAACUUUAUUAUAUCCUCUAGGGCAUAUUUCCUUCAAAUCAGUAUAUGUGUGCAUGCUUGGUUGUUAGUGAAAUGUUUUAUGUAUAUGUGUACAUGCUUGGUUGGGCCAACUUUGUGUAUUACAUUUUGUGAAAUACAAACUUGAUAUACGCCACAUUUGUGUUAACGACCAAUAAGUAUAUACAUAACUAUAUUUUGCCUUCUUUUUCCUCCUCCACAAGAAAAGGUCCCGCGCUUUUCUCCUCCUCCAAUUGGCGCCAUAGCUGGUCCGCCCCAUCUUUGAUGGCCUUUGGGCCCUUUAGUACCGUACCGAACCAGCAGCCUUCGCGCCAAGCGACGACCGCCCUUGUCCCUUUCCUUUUUCCAUUCAGCCUACUUCUUAGCUUUGUUCCGUUAGUCUAAGGCAAAGCUUAAGUGGUUUACCUACCUUACCCACUUGAUGAAAGGGAACGGACUUCAUUUCCUUGGCGGCUUUAUGGAUGGAUUCAGUAAGAAAAAUUCCUUCCUUUUGAAAAAAGUGACACCACGAAGGUGAGUAGGACCUCAGGCCCUCGCUGGCGGGAGGGAACCCGUUCUCAUUCUUUUUUGGUUCAAUGUCUUGCUGGAGCUGUGUUGCGGCUAUGAUGUCUCUCAGUAGGAAUAAUGUUUCACAUGUUCUAUCCCUGUCUCGAUGGUGCCUCUAGCAUUAUCAUAGGGCAUGUGGAGGUGUGUCUCUAUCGGAUUUCGCAGGAUUCGGUCGGCAUUGGUCUUCGGUGGAUCUGUUUGGACACGGUCUAUGUUCAUCUUUGUGGUGUUUAUACUAUUGAUCCUUCCGAUCUAUGACUUUCUUCAUCGACGAUGGUUGCUGCUUCGGUGCGCUGGUCCUAUGGGUCCUUAGCACGACAACUUCCUGACUAUUGACUACAACAAGGUUUGCCCGGCUCCAGCGAUCGGGGGGGGGGGGUGAUGGCGAUGCACAGCUUUCUUUAGUGCUUGUAGUCAUCGCUAGGUGGUCCAUGGACCUGGUUGUAAUUUUUUGUAUCUCUGGUGUUCUUUGUACUGCCAUGAUUGAAGAUGAAUAGAUUGGAAGUUUCUCACGCAAAAAUAACUAUAUAAAUAACUAUUUUAGCAAAAUUCGCAAAAAAACUAUUUUAGCAAGUAAUAAAUUUUGACACCAAUUAUAUGGUAGUAAUUAAUAUUUCCCCUAAUAAUAUCCGCAUUGGGUCCAGGUUUUAUACUAUGUAUACAGACGGGAGUAUGUUUGGAUAAUUGUGUGAACACAAGGAUAUAUCUUAGCAAAACUAUUUUUAGCAACAAGUAAAUGAAUUAAUAUAUGCUAGCUAUACUCUGCUGGUGAAAACAUGGUUUAUUAGUUGUACAAAGCAUGCAACACGGUUUCACUCCCCUUUAUAUUCAUGGGCGGAACACAAUUUCAGAUCCAAGUUUUAUGUUUGUCUACACACUCCCAUCUUCUUCCCAUAUCAGCAGGAAAAUUCACUCCAAUCAUCUCGCCAUUCUACACUUGGGAAAUCAGGUUUGCUUCAAUCUACCAUCCUUGAAUAUAUGCCCCACAUCUUGUUUCUGCGUCCUAAUCUUAUUAAGCUUGUAAUUAGUAGUUAGUGCAAGAUCAAAAAGGAGCUAUGGGCAAAACACCAUCCGCACCUGCUGAUUUAAUCACCAUAGGACAAGCGGCGCCUAAUCAUGAAAUAGCAGGAGAUUCAAGUGACAGUGAGAGAACAAUCAGUGAGGGUUAUGUGGGGAUCAUGUAUGGUGGUAGCCAAACCCACGAUAGCAACCUGGAAGGAGAAUCUGACAUGGUAUUGCUAGCAACAGAUUCAAGUGACAGCGAGAGAACAAUCAGUGAGGGUUAUGUCGGGAUCCUGUAUGGUGGUAGCCAAAUCCAGGAUGGAGACCUGGAGGGAGAAUCGGCUAUGGUAUUGCCUGCUGUAGGAGAGAAUACCACGGCGAGAUCUAACAGUCAUGGUCAUACGCGUAGCUUGGAAAUUGAUUCUACCUCUUGUACUGGGAGGCAUGCUGCCAGGUCAGAUUUUGUUCUAGUGGCACAACGCCGAGACUGCAUACAAAUUUACCCUGAGUGGCUGGAGAAAAUUGAUUCAGGCAAAAAGAUGUGGAUAGCUCUCAAAAAAUUUCGAGCAAAUGGGAAGCAUGAAGAGGUUAGUAUAUACACAUGUUCUGGUGUGCUCUCUCAUCAAAUAAUUUUCAUUGUGGGUUAAUCAUCUCAUAACAUAAGGAGUGUUUGCUUGAUGGGCAUUCAGACCAAAUGAUGAACGAAUUAGAUCCUAGGUUCUCCAAAAGAUGACAUUGUGUUUUGCUUCCGUUACCUCAUAGAUUUUCAGCCUUUGCGUCAAAAUGAUUUUAUGCAUUUGUUUUCGCACUAACUUGUAUUUUUUUAAGCACAACCAUCCAUAUAUGUAAAAAAAACUCAUGGCCACUUGUGCGAUUGAUAGAAAUCAGUUAACAUCUCAAUUUCCUCAUGUGCUAUUGUAUGACUAUGGAGGUUUUUCUAACAUGAUCCUUCUUACCUCCCCUUUUCACAUGAGACGUAAGAGUAUAAAGUAAAUCUGAGUCAUUGACUGCAUUAAGUAGUGGGCUUGACUAAAUCUUACCUUCUUAACUCCCAUGUGAAAAGAUGGGGUAAGAGGAAGCAUGUUAAAAUGGCUCAUGAACGGUGCUGCCGCCAGUGGCAGAGCUUGAGCAUAAUCCAAGAGGGCCAUUACUUGAAGGGGGGGAAAUUAGAAGGGAAGGAGGGGAAAAUAUCUAGUUUAAACACUAGUUAGGCUUAAAAUAUAGUAUAUUCAUUGAUGGGUGCAAAAAUUAAGGGGGGCCAUGGCCCCUGUUGGUCUACAUGAAGCUCCGCCACUUGCUGCCGCACAUUCUACAGUAUUGUUAUAGACACUGACUGACUCUUAUUUUUGCACUAUAUCCAAAUGUACUAGCAGUCAUAAGACACCAAUCUGUCAGGAUCUCGGCUUUUGGCCUUCUGCUAGGAUGCACUAAAGAUAUUGAUAAGUCUCGCCAUUCCUGGAUGUUGUGAAGGUUACCUGACUGGAACAGAUUGUUCUGGAGAAGGAUAUGGAGGCGCGGCAAACCUAAAGCAACGAUGAUGCAACAAAUGGAAUGUGAUCGAGAAUGGUAUUAUCUACAUGUGCACACCAGAGAGCAUACAAAUUAGGGUCUGCAUGGACGACCAAAACACAUGGCAUUUUUUAUCAACUAGACCAUCCUUUUUUCUUUGAUCUACUAACAUUGGUUGCCAUUUCGGGCUUUUGGGCCGACCUUCGGGCGAGAAAUUGAAGCCCAAGCCUACCCCAGAUGUCGGGCUUUGGGCUCAGGCCUCUGGGCCGGGUAGUCCAUGAACAGGUUUAGUUUGAUCUAUUCACUCACAUUUUGAUCCUCAUUCAUUAUAGCAUUUAACCAUAAUUCAUAUGAACAUGCACCACGAGAAUAUAAUAAAGGAAAUGCAUGGGCUAAUUUGUAGUACACAACGCCUUAUUGUGCGGUAUCACAAGAACAUUUUUCUCCUUGAUUACAAUAGUAACUACUAUGCAAUCUUAUAUAUCAAAUCAUAUAUUAUAUGACAAAUUAAGUAUAUUGUUUUGCUUAUUUCAGUAUUACCUUCAUAAGGAAUAUAGUCACAAGUUUUGCUCCAAACGCAACGUUAUUGAGUUCAUACGAAAUGGAACUGUGAAAGGGAAGUCGGUUCAGAAGGUGCCUAAAUACUUGACUUUCAAACAUAUAGUAAUUAUGCGAAGAUGUAUAUGUUUUUUGUAUUAACUUUAAAGUAUUAAUUUGACACGGUAUCCUAUUUUUGCACAGAGAUCAUCUGAUACUUCUAUGAACAAUCUUCAGGGUAUGUCCAGUUGGCCCCAUGCAUUUGGAUAUUAUUUUGUAUACUAUUAUUACUAUACAGAGAUAUCUAACUGAAACUGAAAUAUAAUAAAUAUUCAUGGAGAGAAAAAUAGACAUUAAUGUCCACAUACACAACAAAAUUAACCAGUACUGUCCUAGUUUACAUGAAUUAAUAUUUUCAAUGACAAUUAGGUUACUCAUGACAUGAUAAAGAAAAAAAAUGUGAGGUAAGAUAAGGUUUUCUAUAAUUUUUCAUGGGGACCUCCUCAUGGUUGCAGAUACAUAGUUUUACAGUGCUUCAUGAAAUAGUUGCAUAUCAUCAUGUCUAAAAGAAUCAUGACGGACACAACUUCAAGAAAUUCUUCUUGUAAAAUAACAUGAUUUGUAUAUACCUCAUAAAGGAUGUAACUUGUUGGUAGCAUUUAAUAUUGUGACACACUCGCCAUCUUUUGUGCCAGCAUUAUUUGGGUGAUGAUUUAAUAUCCAAAAGCAUACAUCAAGGUAGUUAUGUGCAAUGAUAUUCUUGUGAAAAUAACUUCCAUAGUGUAUACUUGCAUAUAUGUAUUGCUCUAUUGUAUUCUCACAGUUAAUCCUUUUUCUUAAUUUUUUGUUUGUUUAUUUAUGUUUAGAGCAAGAUUAUAAAUUAAGCUGAGCAUAAUUUCUGCAGAUUAUAGAUGGCCCACUGAAAGACAAAGGGCGAAGGCGCAAACUUCAAAUAAUUCUUCUUGCCACAUAGGUUUUUCUAAUUGUGCGAGCAUACCACUUGUAACUGCCUUCAGUCAUCUAUGUCAGUAGUAUUUUGAGAAGAAUUUCAUUACAAAAUGCAAUGACUCAAACAAUCAGAUUGUUCAUGAUGAUUCCUAAUUGUAUAACCAAUAAGCUUAACGCACCUUCCUAUUUUAGAGUUGUUAUGUUAAUAAGUAUAUACUAUCUGUUAUUAAUGUUGUUAAUGGGUGAAGAACAUUUGUUGCUCAUGGUUAGAAUGUAGAAUUUUCUUAAUACAACAACCUAGAGCGAAUGUGGAGGCCAAUAUAGAUUGAAACCAUUAAUUCAUAUUAAAAUGGUCAUGACUUCUUAUUUUUAUUUGACAUAAAUGUUUGUGACUUGUUUGAAUUAAUGUGUUCUGCAAUUAUAUGAUACUUGCGUAUUCAUACUAUUUUUAUGAAUUGUGCAGCUAGUUUGUCGACAGGAGCACGAACAACCACAACUUCUACAAAGCUUCCACAUGGUUUCAUCUAGUAUCAUGCAAAAGACAUUGAGACAAUCAAGAUUACUUGAGCAACCUGAAUUAUGUUAGUUGUUACCUGCUUUCAAACGAAUGUGUCCUCUCAUAGUAUGCAUGUACUUCUGUUGUUGAGGAAUUUAUAUCAUUAGACAGUUCUGUUUUUCAUAAUUAUUGAUUAAUGGGUACAUACCUUCAAUCCUGGAAGAUUAUCAGAUAGCCAGUCAAGGAAGCAAUUUAUUUAUUGAAUUGUGCAUAAUAGGAACAUUUUUACAUUCAAAGGAACAUCAUAGGAAUAAUUUGGUAUUUCGAGAAGAUUUUCCAGUCCCCUGCCCCAACCUACUGGAGACAGUAUGAGUGGUGACAGACACAUUUG